rnacentral:rRNA from 1 species
AUGGUGAAGGAGAGAUUGACCCUGACGCUGGAGAGGUACCACCGCUUCUUCGUCGACCCCUACGCCACCCGCCUCACCACCGUCCACCUCAACAACAUCAUCUACAUGCAUGGUUUCGCCAGGCUCCACGGCAAGAAGUCCCAGAUCAUGGACCACAUGGUGGGGCAGGUCGACCUGCAGCCGCCGCGCCGCUCAACGCUGCACGGUAGCGCCGCGCUCGCGCCGCCCUCCGCCGCGCGGAUCGCCGCCGCACAGGCCUCGGCCGACGUCGACGCCAUCGGCUGGGCGGAGUGCCCCAUCGGCUGCGUCACCGCCUUCUCCGCCUUCGCUGACCCGCCGGACCCGGUGGAGCCCAUGCCCCCGCCCGCCCACCACAUGCUCGCGCUGGCGAUGCCCCUGCGCCGCCCACGCUCCAAGAGGACGCGCACCUCCCCUUACCAGCUCCCUGCCGCGUCCAACACGGCCAAGGUGAAGGAGGAGGCGGUCAUGGAAGAGGAGGGUGAGGAUAUGUCGUUGGCGACGCCGUCGCCGCCGCGAUGGAUGCGCUCCCCUACCCCGCCACCUCCGCCGCCGUCGCCCACGCCGCGGCCACAGACCGUGGUGCCUCCGCCACUAUGGAUGCGCUCCCCUACUCCGCCACCUCCGCCCCCGUCGCCCUCUCCGCGGCCGCAGACCGUGGUGCCUCCGCCUUCGCCGCCGUGCAGGGGCCAGCCUGAGUUGGAGCCGACCCUCUCUCGUCCACCAGGCUUCGGCUCGCCGCCGGAACCAUGCAGGAGCCGGCCUACGCUGGAGCGGAUCCUCCCCACACCACCACCACCAGGCUUCGGCCCGCCGCCGGAACCAUGCAGGAGCGGGCCUACGCUGGAGCCGAUCCUCCCAACACCACCACCACCAGGCUUCGGCCCGCCGCCGGAACCAUGCAGGAGCGGGCCUACGCUGGAGCCGAUCCUCCCAACACCACCACCACCAGGCUUCGGCCCGCCGCCGCAACCAUGCUGGAGCCGGCCUACGUUGGCGCCGCCUCCUACCCCACCACCAGGCUUCGGUUCGCGCCAGGUGGCGCCGCCUCCUCCGCACCUGUCCUGGGGCUUGCCGUUGCGACCGCCGUCGGGCCCAGGAGCGCCUACGUUCACGCAGCAUCUUCAGCCUGCAGGUCCGGCACCACUCUGGCGCUCGCCGAUGUCGCCGUCUUAUCCGGCACCGUGCUGGGGCGCGCCUUCUGGGCCGCCGCCGGCGCAAGCGCCUUGGCGCUGGCCACAUCCACCGCCGCGCUGGGCACCACCUCAUAUGCUGCGCCCGCCGCCGCCACCCUGGGACUGCAUGAGGCCGUUUGCACCUCCUAUGCCGCCGCAACACCCGCCGCAUUUUGAGAUGCAGCAUACGCCACCGGCACCGGGGGCGUGCUCGGGCAGGCAGGUGAUUUACUUCUAG